UACGUAGGGGGCAAGCGUUGUCCGGAAUUAUUGGGCGUAAAGAGCUCGUAGGCGGUUUGUCGCGUCUGCCGUGAAAGUCCAGGGCUCAACCUCGGCUGCCAGCGGUGACGGGCAGACUAGAGUGCGGUAGGGGAGAUUGGAAUUCCUGGUGUAGCGGUGGAAUGCGCAGAUAUCAGGAGGAACACCAAUGGCGAAGGCAGAUCUCUGGGCCGUAACUGACGCUGAGGAGCGAAAGCGUGGGGAGCAAACAGG
rnacentral:rRNA from 1 species